UGGAGGAGUCGGCAGAGCAGGCACAGCGGU
rnacentral:piRNA from 1 species